rnacentral:rRNA from 1 species
UACGGAAGGGGCAAGCGUUGUUCGGAAUCAUUGGGCGUAAAGGGCGCGUAGGUGGUUCUGUAUGUCUACCGUGAAAGCAUACAGCUCAACUGUAUUUUGUCGGUAGAAACUGCAGGACUUGAGGCUGGGAGGGGCUGGUGGAAUUCCCUGUGUAGCGGUGAAAUGCGCAGAUAUCAGGAGGAACACCGGUGGCGAAGGCGGGUCUCUGGGCAGUAACUGACGCUGAGGAGCGAAAGCGUGGGGAGCGAACAGG